AAUGGUAUAACACCAUUAGUGGAAAAAGUGACAACAAACUGGAGGGUUCCAAUCAGCGUUAAAGAACGCGUUGCUGUAACGUUAAGGUAAGAAAAAAAAUGCUUAGAUAUAUACCGUUCAGUGCGGAAUGGAAACGUGGCUUUUGUUUCCCUCACGGCCCACUUGAACCGUGUUUGGCGGAGCAACUGGCAUGGAAACCGACAAGGGAAUCUUUUCCGCAUCCCGACGCUUUUCCAGCCGUCUCACUUGCCACGAAUCCACGCUCACUCAGGCUUAUUUUUACAAUCCCGAGGGUGAAGGUUUCUUUUUAAUAUCCCGACAUCCCUAAUAUGAACAAUUGGCCCUAUCGGGAUAUCUUUGUUUACGUGAAAAUCCAAUUGUUAUUCCGCGCAAAUUCGGACUCCUGAUUUGUAACACUGUUUUGAUCAAAGGGUGCUGUGCAUCGCCGCCGGGGUACGGUUGAUUUCCCUUUGAUGUUCCCAUUGUCGAUGCUCGAUUGUUAGUUUAGCAAAGCGGCGCAGCGACAGGAUAAAGCGGAUCCGUCCCGUCCUGGCUGGUGUAAACGAGGUCCGUAAAUAGGAUUCUGAAUUUUGCCAGAUUGCCUUUGAAUGGUUUUGCUACUUUCGGAUAGGGCCAUCGAGUGUUUCUUUUUUUCAAGUUAAAUUUUUUUUUAUUCUGCUGGUGGUGUGCUACGAU